rnacentral:lncRNA from 1 species
GGGUCUUGAAAAAGAGAAUAAAAGGCAACAAAUAAUUGAGAAAUAAAUGACAAAAAUAAAUCUAGACUAAUUUCAACCAACCUGCAAAAGAAAAGGAAAUUUGACAUUUAAUUGAAAAGAGUUAAACGCAUACCUUAGCUUGGGGAGGAAGCUCUCGGCCUUGGGACGUCUUCCUCGUACGUUUCAUUAAGUGGCGUCGUUUAGUGUGAUGACAAAGAGAACUUGGGCUUGACUUGUCUUGAGAAGAGGCCUUUCACUUGUUGGUUCAUAAAAGCUUAGGCCAACACUUAAGUCUAGAUUCUUAACCUUUGUUUGUUGCUCCUCCUUGGCCUCUCUUUCUUCUUGUUUAAGCUUAUUGCUACAAAGGGUGAGAUUAUCGAAUUGUGUGAUGGUGUUCUCCAUUUCUUUAUAGCUUAUCAAACUCUCCACAGCUUUGUUGAAUUCUUCCCGCAUUGUCUUUGUACCGGACCUUGUUCUAGGUGGUUGGUACAUAGUCGGAACCCGGACAACUUCGGUAUGGUUUGAACUCAUGUCCUCAUCACUUACAGAAGUCACUCACUCUUUGUAUGUCUACUAACAUUUUAAUGUAGAGCUUUUUUUUAUAUAUACAUUCUAUUUGAGAUAUUUAACCUCUCAAAUAAUCCGUUGAAAAUGAAAAUUAUAGAUUAUCUAUUAUUACGAUUAACGAAUAUCAUAAAUGUGAUAUAAUUAGAAAAAGAAUAUAUAUAAAUUCAAUGGUAUAAAUGAAAUAUAAGAAUAAGCGAUAUUGGAUAAUCACUAAUCUUGAUCGUGAGGCUUGGAUUUCAACCAUUAGUCUUAAGCUCUACCGACGACCGUUCUAGACCUAGUCACAUUGGUAUGUUAUAAUUGUCUAAUGUUUUAUUGUUAUAUUGAGGAGUUUUGAAAAAGUUAACUAUUUUACCAACAUUGUGCUAUGAAUGAUGCAACUAUAUAAUGGGAAACAAAUCUCCUUGAGUUACAAGAAGUUUGUAGGGAGACUUCUCCUCUCAAUUUAGAACUACAUA